GUGUUUGCUUUGGCAGCAUUUAUACUAAAACUGGGACAAUACAGAGAAUAUUAGCAUGGCACAUGCAAAGUCACAAAGCAUUUCAUAUUACA
rnacentral:snRNA from 1 species